rfam:Lactobacillus mellifer strain Bin4 genomic scaffold Bin4_scaffold1, whole genome shotgun sequence.
CCACAGCUGCAACCGCACAUGGCUAGGUUAAAGUCUGUAUCAGACACCUAGAAUGGCGAGUUUAAGAAUGGAG